UACAGAGGGUGCGAGCGUUAAUCGGAAUUACUGGGCGUAAAGCGUGCGUAGACGGCUAUCUAAGUCGGGUGUGAAAGCCCCGGGCUCAACCUGGGAAUUGCAUUCGAGACUGAAUAGCUAGGGUACGGUAGAGGGAAGUGGAAUUUCCGGUGUAGCGGUGAAAUGCGUAGAUAUCGGAAGGAACAUCAGUGGCGAAGGCGGCCACCUGGACGGUAACUGACGCUGAGACGCGAAAGCGUGGGGAGCAAACAGG
rnacentral:rRNA from 1 species